rnacentral:rRNA from 1 species
UAUUCUUUAUAGCUUGCUAUGAUAAAAAUUAGUGGCAGACGGGUGAGUAAUGCAUAGGAAUCUACCUAGUAGUAUGGGAUAGCCACUGGAAAUGGUGGGUAAUACUGUAUAAUCCCUGCGGGGGAAAGAUUUAUCGCUAUUAGAUGAGCCUAUGUUAGAUUAGCUAGUUGGUAGGGUAAAGGCCUACCAAGGCAGUGAUCUAUAGCUGGUCUGAGAGGAUGAUCAGCCACACUGGAACUGAGAUACGGUCCAGACUCCUACGGGAGGCAGCAGUGGGGAAUAUUGGACAAUGGGCGCAAGCCUGAUCCAGCUAUGCCGCGAGAGUGAGAAAGGCCU